UACAGAGGUGGCAAGCGUUGUUCGGAAUUACUGGGCGUAAAGGGCGCGUAGGCGGUUCGAUAAGUCCCGUGUGAAAUCCCUCGGCUCAACUGAGGAACUGCACGGGAAACUGACGGGCUUGAGUUCGGGAGAGGGAAGCGGAAUUCCGGGUGUAGCGGUGAAAUGCGUAGAUAUCCGGAGGAACACCGGUGGCGAAGGCGGCUUCCUGGACCGACACUGACGCUGAGGCGCGAAAGCUAGGGGAGCAAACGGGG
rnacentral:rRNA from 1 species